rnacentral:sRNA from 1 species
GCACUGGCAAAAUCCAGUGUCGGGAUUGGUCUCCCGCAAUUUUCCAAGGCGCAUAGUUGCCAGCUUCUCGCUGGUUUUUU